ensembl:misc_RNA 7SK 7SK RNA
GGCUGGGGCAUCCCCUUCCUCCCUUACCGCUCCAUGUGCAUCCCCCCUCCCGAAGCUGUGUGCUCAAUCGAAGACAAUGACUUUCCCCGAAUAGAGGAGGACCAGUCUUCGGUCAAGGGUAUAUGAGUAGCUGCGCUCCCCUGCUAGAACCUCCAAACAAGCUCUCAAGGUCCAGAAUUCAGCUUUUAUUAAGGGUCCCCAGUAAGGUUGGGGCUGUGGCCGCAUUU